AUUGAACGCUGGCGGCAUGCUUUACACAUGCAAGUCGAACGGUAACAGGCCUUCGGGUGCUGACGAGUGGCGAACGGGUGAGUAAUGCAUCGGAACGUGCCCAGAGGUGGGGGAUAACGCAGCGAAAGCCGUGCUAAUACCGCAUGUGAUCUGAGGAUGAAAGCGGGGGACCAGGCAGCAAUGUUUGGCCUCGCGCCUUUGGAGCGGCCGAUGUCAGAUUAGGUAGUUGGUGGGGUAAAGGCCUACCAAGCCGACGAUCUGUAGCUGGUCUGAGAGGACGACCAGCCACACUGGGACUGAGACACGGCCCAGACUCCUACGGGAGGCAGCAGUGGGGAAUUUUGGACAAUGGGCGCAAGCCUGAUCCAGCAAUGCCGCGUGCGGGAAGAAGGCCUUCGGGUUGUAAACCGCUUUUGUACGGAACGAAAAGGCUCUGGCUAAUACCUGGGGCUGAUGACGGUACCGUAAGAAUAAGCACCGGCUAACUACGUG
rnacentral:rRNA from 1 species